GGGAAUUUUAAAAAGAAGGAGAAAUCAGAGGAAGCCUUGCCAUGUGUGGGCUGUACCCCAGGUGAUCCCACUGAGAUCAGGACAUCGCUGUACAUUUAUCUGAUACCCCAUCUCUCAGGGGUAUCACAGACUCUUUGAGGGGGUGCAGUAACAUACAAACAAACGAGAACUUACCUUAACUUCCAGCACACCCUACAAACUAGAACAUCUCUUAGUUCUCAACACACACUACAUACUCGGUCGUCUUAGAGCAGCUAUCCAAGUGCAGAUACUGCGGUUGCCCAGUAUAAAGGGAGGACAUGAUUGUUCUAAGAUGAGUGGACGCCUCCCCUAUCUUCAGUGACCAAGCCAGUGCUCCAAUAAAAAGCAAAAUGAUCUAAAAUAGUGGCUCUCAACCUUCCUAAUACUGUGACCCUUGAUGCAGUUCCUCGUGUUGUGGUUGACAGCCCCCAAGUAUAAAGUUAUUUUCAUUCCUACUUCAGAACUGCAAUUUUUGCCACUGUUUUGAAACGUAAUGUAAACAUCUGAUAUAUAGAUGGUCUUAGGGGAUCCCUGUGAAGGGAUUGUUCAAUACCCCAUCCCCCCAACAGGGACCACAACCCACAGGCUGAGAACCACUGAUCUACAGCUGACACAGGACAGGACUGUCAGAGUCUUAUGAAAACAAACUCAAGCACACUGACUGACUUCAGCAGAUUAGAGCCAUCAUCAAGCCCUCUUUUUUAUAGUAGGCUAUUUAACUAUAACUAUGCCAUCUCAUGAUAGUAUUCUAUGAAUACUUUAGGUGUUAAACCUAUCUUGGAUAAAACUGGUCUCUGACCACUUAGACCAGCCCUAAAUUCCCAUACAAUGGUGACCCUGAGCUAAAAUGUCAACUACCUGGCCAUUCGACUACUAUCUCUCUGCUUCUGUGCAAUUUGUGCUUGCUGUGGAUGUCCAGAGCUGCCUUUCUGUAUAUGCCACAGUUGCAGUUUUCCCCCUUAAAAACUAGAGCCAACUAGAGGUCAAGGCUGUUUGCCACAACAAUCCUCUUGGGACAGUCCCACUGGUGGUUAAUAAAGACUCCAUUCCACU
rnacentral:lncRNA from 1 species